ensembl:lncRNA
UUUUUUUUUUUAUGUCUUUUGUCUUUUGUCUUUUGUCUUUUUUGUUGUUGCUAUUUCUUGGGCUGUUCCCGUGGCAUAUGGAGGUUCCCAGGCUAGGGGUCGAAUCGGAGCUGUAGCCACCGGCCUACGCCAGAGCCACAGCAACGCGGGAUUUGAGCCGCGUCUGCAACCUACACCACAGCUCACGGCAACGCCUGAUCCUUAACCCACUGAGCAAGGCCAGGGAUCGAACCCGCAACCUCAUGGUUCCUAGUCGGAUUCGUUAACCACUGCGCCACGACGGGAACACCAACCCCCUUCCUUUUCUGAUUCCAGCAACCAGAGAGCUUUGUCAAGGGUCAAGGGGGCUGUGGCAUCUGUAAUGCAUAUACGAGGCCAUUCGUGCCUUUUAUUUCUUUGCAGAACCUCUUCCUCCUCCUCUGUUCUCUUAACAGCCUCAGGUCCCCAGACAACCAAAGAACAGGUCACAUCCUAGCCAGGAAGGAAAUCUUCUUUUUUUUUUUUUUUUGACUGGCAGGGCCAGAAGUCACUGGAAAGGACACCACCACAUUAGCAACCAGGUCUCAGGUUUCUGAGAGACGCUUAAGAACCUGGGCGAGGUAUGCACUUAACUCAUGACGCCUCUUCAAUUGUAGCCUGUCACCCUCUGAGGGAAGUGGCGGAUGAAAUCAGCAUGUCUAAUUUCUCAUCUUGCAGGGUUCAGAGAGGAGCCUUACAUUUCAGCUGAUUAACCCAGCGUUUACUCUUUUUUUUUUUUUCUUUUUGCUUUUUGGCUUUUGCAUUUUCCCUUCCCAAGGACCAGAGAUAGGGUUCAAAGAAGCAAACAGGGAUAUGGCGGGUACUUCAAGAGAACAGCUGCUCAGCUUUAAGUGACACACUCAAAGGAUUGAUAGUCAGGGAAAGCGAUCUUCCUUUCAUCACGCUCUGCCACAUCUAGCAAUUUCAAGCAGGCCUACCCAGGAGGAGAGAGCAAGACCAGGAUGGACAACCAACCAACCUCUUAAAGCCACACUGCCAGCCAGCCAGCCAGCCAGCCAGCCAUCGAACAGCUCAUUUAACAAGCUCUCCCUUCUCUACUAGGUUAAGCUGGACUCAUCUUCGACUUCAGCCCAUUUCCUUCUAAACCUUUCUCAGAUCCGAGACAAGGUCAAAUUCCUCCAUAAUCUCACUCUCCUGGACAUAUCUCACUUAAAGCCACUGGCCACAGUGGCAAAUACAACACUUCCUUAUGUAGUUAUGAAAUGACAGCUGACAGACUGAGGUUCCAACCCAGGACCCUCUGUCUCUAAAGCCUGGGAUCUUUGCACGUGUUCGAGCUCUGGCCUGGGGCUAGGAAGCCUGGGUUCUGGCCCUGAGUCUCCAGCUCAUCAGCUGGGUGAUGUUUCAUAAGCUACUUGCUCACCCUGCAUCUGCCUCUCCAUCAGUAAGAGAAGGAGGCCAGGCAGGGUGACAUUCGAGUUCCCUGUCCUGCUUUGAUUUUCUAGGAUCGGUUGUCACGUAGAACUGAUGUGUCUAAGAAAUGGGCCCUGGGAGUGAAGCCCAGCAAAAUGUCAGAGGCUCCUGGAUUUCUAGAACAAGGCUCCCACCACAUGCCACAGCGGCCUUUCUGUCCAGAGAUGGGCCCACUAGGGAGGAGGCCUGGGACCCUGACACCAUUACCAAGACCGCACAGGCCUGCCUCCUCCCUCUCUUCUCUGACUUUGAAUUUCACAGGCGCCUCUGCGCCAGACUCCAGGAGUUAGCCAACUUCACUGGGGAUGGAUGGGGGCCACGGGCCUCCUCAUCUCAAGAUGUUACAGCAGCCCAGGUCUACAGGGACCCCUUGCACAUUAACUACUGCCUCUAUGACGCGAAGUAUGAGCACCCCUGAAGUUCAGAAAAAUUAAAAAAUGGAAAAUUUAAUUAAGGCUGUCUCUGCCUAAUUGCCUUCCUGUUGGCUCAUAGUGUCCUUUGAAGGAAAGAAAACAAAACUCUCCACCCACCAUGUCAGCCUGGGAUUCAUAAGCUUGAGGCUUCUGCCAGCAGGAAUGCACGUCUGAUGGUCCUUCCACCUCCAUGGGUUAUUAGAAGAAAGUGUGGAAGAAUAUCUUUGUGAUGAGCUGAUGGAAACAGACAUCUCAACUCCUCCCCCAAAGCUCACAUUCUAAGGUGAAAAAGUGAUGAAUUUGAUAAUCCCAGAAUUAAAGUGUUUGCUUAAAAAAAUAAUAGGGGAAUACAGUUUGGGAGAAGAUACUUAUCUAAAGGUGAUAAGGAAUUAAUAUUUAGAACACACUGGGAACUCCUUGCCGUGAAUAAGAAAAUAUCAGGUACCCUAACUGACCAAUAUGGAGAAGUAAUUCAAUGGAGAGAAAUACAAAAGGCCAACAUGCUAUGUAGCUGUUCACGUGUUUAUAGUCAAAUAAAUAAAAACAAACAAAGUUGUGGAGUUCCCAUCAUGGCUCAGCAGUAACAAAUUUGACUGGUGUUUGAGGAUGAGGGUUCGAUCCUUGAAGCACCCCUGCAGUUCAGAAAAAUUAAAAAAUGGAAAAUUUAAUUAAGGCUGUCUCUGCCUAAUUGCCUUCCUGUUGGCUCAUGGUGUCCUUUGAAGGAAAGAAAACAAAAUUCUCUACCCUCCAUGUCAGCCUGGGAUUCAUAAACUUGAGGCCUUUCUCAGUGGGUUAAGGAUCUGGCUUUGCCAUGAGCUUCAGUGUAGGUCAAAGACUCGGAUGGCUUGGAUCUGGCAUUGUUGUGGCUGUGGAGUAGGCUGGCAGCUGCAGCUCCAAUUUCACCCCUAGCCUGGGAACUUCAUAUGCCACGGGUGCGGUCCUAGGAAGACAAAAAUAAAAAAAAAAGAAGAAGAAAAAUUUUGAAGUCAUGCCUAUACCCAUCAGAUUGGCACAAAUACAAAGUUCGGCCCCAAGUGGCAGAGGCCAUAAGGAUGUAUAAGAAAGAAGAAGCUUUAGGUCAGGGUGACCACAGACUGGGACAGCCGUGGAUGGGAGCCCCCUGGAAUUACUUAGCCAAGUGAAGUCCCGGUGUUCUCUAGUACAGGAAGACAGCCCAGAACAAGUGGAUUCUCAUACAGGCUGUUGGGGGCAUGGAGGAGGAUGUCCACUGUGGUGCUGUUUACACUGGAGGGGAACUGGAAACUAUCCUGGUGUCCCUCUCUGGAAAAAUGCAUAUGUAGAAUGUCCUGCAUGCAUACAGGGACUAUUUUGCAGCAGUUAGAAACAAUGGACUAAAAUGUAUACACAUCAUCACAGGUGGAUAUUAAAAAUGAAGUGCUAUAAGAAAAAAGUAGGAAACAGAAAGGUCUACAGGAUAAUGUCACCUAUGUAAAUUAAAAAUAUGUGAACACCAAACAAUUCCUGCUUUAAAAGCACAAACAAAAGGCUAAACUACAAACAUAUGGGGAAGGGCAAUAAGAGUGGGGAAUGGGGAGAAAAGGGAAUUAGUAGAUCAAAAGAGUGGGCUUUUGCAAGGACCAAGGAUGAUAUUUCAUAAUGGAAAGAGAAAAAUGAACUCAAUAUUGAGCACUGAAGUCUAAAAACAACAGCAGCAUUGACAUGUCUCCCUGAUGGCGGCUGUUGCCCUGUCCUCCCCAAGCAGAGGCAGAGAUUUAUACUGAGGUAGCAGCAUGGCCUGCCAACAGCCCCCAUGGGAUGUUCCAAGGCAGCUCUUGGGUCCCAGGGGAAUGUGAUGGGCUUGGAAAUCAGACUGACUUGGUCCCAAUCUCCAUUCUUUCACAGAGCAGCUAUGGGGCUUAGCCAAGAUAAUGAACCCUCUCUGAGCCUCGGUUUCCUCCUUGUGAGGUAUGGUACUGACUCCACUUCUCUUUGAGUGAUGGUGAGAUUACAGUCAGAUACGUAUGAGGCACCUGAUCCCUGGGCCAAGUUUGGUCUAUAGCAGGUACUCAAUAAAUUGUUAUUUCUCUUCUAUCCCCUCUAAGAUGUCCAAAGCUCUCAUGGUAUUCUCCCCACUUCCAUCCCUAGCAAACCCUCCUCUUAAGAGGGACCUACAACCCACACUAACCACCAUUAUGACUGCUGUCUUCUAGCCCAGUCAUUGAUCUAAGUGAUAUAAAGACAUCAAAAAGUUGGUAGUCUCAUCUCUACUCUGGAUGAAGAAACAGGACCUUAGAGAAGUGAACUCACAGAUUUAUUGAGACUUUAUGAACAACUGGUCACUUUAAUGAAGUGCAUCCAGGAAAGAGGCUGAGAGUGAGAAGCAGCUUUCCCAGAACCAUGUAGUCCAGAUACCAUCACACAUGUUUGUAGACAGUGAGGUCAGUGCGUUUCCCAGAUUAAGCCUCUCUAUACCAGGCUCUGCUUUGUUUCCUAGUGGAUCACUUCCCACCGCAAACCAGAGCUGUUUAGUGAGGGCAGAACAACAAUGCAGACAUUCUUUCAUUCUACAAAUGCUUACAGAGUGUCUAUUGUGUACUAGUAGAAGCUAGUUGCAGAUACUUGGGUGUAGCAAUGAACAAAUGAGACAUCUCUCUGGCCCUCAUGGAGCUUAUGUUCUACUUGGGGAGGACAGACCACAGACAACAAUGAAUAGAUAAUAAUAUAAUAUCAGGGAGUGAUGACUGCUGGAAAGAGAAAUAAAAUAAUCAGGGAGAGAGAACCAAAGGAGGAUUGGGGAUGGGAACUAUUAUAAAAGUUAAGACUAAACUGAUUAAAAACAAAAAGGGAGGGAUGGGUGCAUGUUUACUGUGCAUACAGGUGCAUGUUUACUGUAGUCUUACAGGGAACAGUGAACAUGCCUCUCACAAUAGUCUCUCUCAAGAGUGUGCAGAAAACACAACCAUAUAAAAUUUAUGGGGUUCAGCAAAAGCAGUCUUAAGAGGGAAUUUCAUAGUACUACAGGUCUUCCUCAAAGAACAGGAAAAAUCUCAAAUAAACCACCUAACUUAUCACCUAAAAGAAUUAGAAAAAAGAAUAACAAAUAAAACCUAAAAUCAGC